UACGGAGGAUGCGAGCGUUAUCCGGAUUUAUUGGGCGUAAAGCGAGCGCAGGCGGUUGCUUAGGUCUGAUGUGAAAGCCCCCGGCUUAACCGAGGAAUUGCAUCGGAAACUGUGUUUCUUGAGUGCAGAAGAGGAGAGUGGAACUCCAUGUGUAGCGGUGGAAUGCGUAGAUAUAUGGAAGAACACCAGUGGCGAAGGCGGCUCUCUGGUCUGUAACUGACGCUGAGGCUCGAAAGCAUGGGUAGCGAACAGG
rnacentral:rRNA from 1 species